GACGAACGCUGGCGGCGUGCCUAAUACAUGCAAGUCGAGCGAAGCGGCGGACGGGUGAGUAACACGUGAUUAACCUGCCUUAGACAUUGGGAUAGCCUCGGGAAACCGAGAUUAAUACCAAAUGGUCUAAGAUGGACUCGCGUCCCAUUAGCUAGUUGGUGGGUAACGGCCCACCAAGGCGACGAUGGGUAGCCGGACUGAGAGGGUGAACGGCCACAUUGGAACUGAGAAACGGUCCAAACUCUACGGGAGGGAGGAGUGGGGAAUAUUGCAAAAUGGAGGGAAUGCUGAUGCAGCGACGCCGCGUGAACGAAGAAGGCGUGCGAGUCGUAAAGUUCUUUUAUAUGGGAAGCGGUACCAUAAGAAAAAGCCCCGGCUAACUACGUGCCAGCAGCCGCGGUAAUUC
rnacentral:rRNA from 1 species